AGAACGAACGCUGGCGGCAUGCCUAAUACAUGCAAGUCGAACGAACUCUUCGGAGUUAGUGGCGCACGGGUGCGUAACGCGUGGGAAUCUGCCCCUUGGUUCGGAAUAACAGUUGGAAACGACUGCUAAUACCGGAUGAUGACGAAAGUCCAAAGAUUUAUCGCCAAGGGAUGAGCCCGCGUAGGAUUAGCUAGUUGGUGAGGUAAAGGCUCACCAAGGCGACGAUCCUUAGCUGGUCUGAGAGGAUGAUCAGCCACACUGGGACUGAGACACGGCCCAGACUCCUACGGGAGGCAGCAGUAGGGAAUAUUGGACAAUGGGCGCAAGCCUGAUCCAGCAAUGCCGCGUGAGUGAUGAAGGCCUUAGGGUUGUAAAGCUCUUUUACCCGAGAUGAUAAUGACAGUAUCGGAGAAUAAGCCCCGGACUAACUCCGUGCCAGCAGCCGC
rnacentral:rRNA from 1 species